AGUGAACGCUGGCGGUAGGCCUAACACAUGCAAGUCGAACGGCAGCACAGUAAGAGCUUGCUCUUACGGGUGGCGAGUGGCGGACGGGUGAGGCAUACACCGGAAUCUACUUUUUCGUGGGGGCUAACGUAGGGAAACUUACGCUAAUACCGCAUACGACCUACGGGUGACAGCAGGGGAUCUUCGGACCUUGCGCGAUUGAAUGAGCCGCUGUCGUAUUAGCUAGUUGGCGGGGCAAAGGCCCACCAAGGCGACGCUCCGUAGCUGGUCUGAGAGGAUGAUCAGCCACACUGGGACUGAGACACGGGCCAGGCGCCUACGGGAGGCAAAAGUGGGGAAUAUUGGACAAUGGGCGCAAGCCUGAUCCAGCCAUGCCGCGUGGAGGGAGGAGGCCUUCGGGGUGUAAAGCCCGUGUUUUGGGAAAGAAAAGCAGCAGGUUAAUACCCCGCUGUUCUGACGGUACCCAAAGAAUAAGCACCGGCUAACUUCGUG
rnacentral:rRNA from 1 species